AGAAAGAAGAAAGAAAGAGAGAGAAGGAAGGAAGGAAGGAAAGGAGAGACCAUUUACUGAGCAUCCAACAUAUACUAGGGCAUGGGGACUCAAAAAUGAUAAAUAAAUUGUCCAUGCCUUUAACAAACUCAGUAAAUAAAUGUUAUGAUCUGAAUGUUUGUGACCCCCCUUCCCAAAUUUAUAUGUUAAAACCAUUAGGUAGUAGUAUAUGUCAAUACCAAUGUGGUGGUAUUAAGAAGUGGGGCCUCUAGGAGGUGAUUAGAUAAUGAGGGUUCUGCCCUCAUGAAUGGGAUUAGUGCCCUUAUAAAAGAGGCCAAAAGGAGCUUGUUUGUCCUUCCCAACGUGAAGACACAGCUAGAAGGCGCCAGCUCUGAGGAACAAGCCCUCACCAGACAGCAAAUCUACCAGCACCCUGAUGUUGGACUUCUCGGCCUCCAGAACUGUGUUGGUCCCCAAGGUGCUCCUUAAUAGGCAUCCUGCGCCUUAAACACUGCCUCAGAGUCUGCUUCCCAGGAAGUCCAAACAGAUUGAGAAUCUGAGGAUGAAGAAUGAAGCUCGGAGCCUUGCAGCGGGAAGAACUUUAUCUGAACAAGAGGCAGAAUUUCCCAGUGGUCCCCUCUUUCUGGAAGCCUUGUCCCUGGUGGGCAGGGGAAGAAGGACAGUGGGGAGAUCAAACUGUCACUUUUACAGUGCUAGGGCCCAGGUUAAUUACUGACCCCCCUCUCUGAGCCCUAGGGCUCUGCCCUAACCUGGAUCCCCUGAGGAUCCCAAGAGAGUUCUUUGUGGAGAGGAUGAGGCCAGGUAUCUGGCCCUUUCAGAAGAAGAGGGGGCACUCGCUAUGCUUGAACUAUGGCUUAAGAAGCCCUCAAGCACCCCAUCACUCCCUUUUUCCCCAUCAACAACAUGGGAUCACCACACCCUAGACUUCACUGGGCUGCCUCAGGGCAAGAAGCAACCAACUAAUUUUAUGGAGAAUCUUGGGAGAGGGCAUGGCCAGGAGCCCUUGGUGAGUCCGCAUGGCUGCCAGGAAAGGAUUUUUUUUUUUUUUAAUUGUUCUGCCAGAUGGCGGACGUGCUAUCAAACUGGAACAAUUUCAUGUUAAUAUCUUGACUUGGAGUUUCUGACCACUCAGAUUGUAUAAAUUAAACCUCAAAGCUGUGUAUGGGCAGAAUCUGAAUUCUUUUCUACCCAGAGGCCAGGGGAAACAGACAACUUUGCUUGACAUUUCCCUUUGCCUGAGCAUCUUUUUUCUGGCAGCAUAGCCUUUUGAGGGCCCUAGCCAUUAUGCAGAGCCUUGAUUCUGCCUCCCCACCUUGCAUAGGCCAAGGCCUUGCCUAUUGUACUAGCAUGUCAGAAACCCAAACCUCUUGAUCGCCAAGAUCACCAAAUACCCUCAAACAGGAUUGGGGACUAGUAUAAGCAUCAUCUCACCACUUCUGGUGUAUGAGAGUUUCUUCUGUUUCCUUUGAGCUCAAUAUUUUAAAGACUAUGUAUUAUAUUUAAUUCAUCAUUUCUAGGUGUUUUGUAUUGAGAGGUUUUUCAGGGUAUCUAGUUUGUUAUGAUGACAAAACUAACAGUCCACAAGCUAUUACUUUCCUCCCACCAAAAUCAUCAAUGAGUAAUAGCCACUUUUCAGUCAUUCUCCAAGUCGGAGCCAAUUUCUUCAUAGUUAGGACAGGUAUACUAUCCAAUUAAUAGACAAACAUACCCUGCAGAGAAAUCUUCCUCAUAUCUGAAACGUUCCUGCCAAAUCCUUUCACUUUAUCAGGUUCUAAGAGUUCCUGGAUUACUCAAAAAGUUUAUCAAUGUGAGCUUCCUGUGAGACAUUCUAGGAAGUUUAAUUGGGAACAGAAAAAUAUGGAGCCAUUUGAAAUGAUCCAAGUGGGACUCAGGUGGGUUCCAUAGUGUUUGCGUGUUAGAACACACUUGAUUAAAGCUUCUACUCCA